CCUGAACGCUGGCGGCGUGGCUAAGACAUGCAAGUCGCACGGACCCGCAAGGGUUAGUGGCGAACGGGUGAGUAAUGAAUCGCUAAUGUACCCCGGACUCUGGGAUAGCCGGGUCGAAAGAUCGGGUAAUACCAGAUGAUAUAACUUUGUCGCAUGACAGAGUUCUCAAAGGUCCGCCGGUCUGGGAGCAGGCGAUUUCGUAUCAGCUAGUUGGUGAGGUAACGGCCACCAAGGCGACGACGCGUAGCCGGACUGAGAGGUUGGCCGGCCACAUUGGGACUGAGACACUGCCCAGACUCCGUACGGGGGCUGCAGUAACGAAUCUUCCGCAAUGUACGAAAGUAUGACGGAGCGACGCCGCGU
rnacentral:rRNA from 1 species